GGUUGCUUUAUUUCUCUUAUGUUUUAGUCACCCUGUACCCAUUAUAGGUGCAGGGUGUGUGUAAUGUUUAUAGUGUGUGUGUGUACUGUGAAAUGUAUUGCCUGCUCUCCUGUACUGCUGAGGUUUGCUACCAACUAGGUGGAUUUGGCUACGGAGCUUGUCUAGUGCCCUCUGUUGGUAGCAACAGAAAUAUGCACUACCCGAAUAGCAAGACUGGUUCAUUUGCAUAUUCGGGUAGAUUUGCAUAUUGCUAAUUCUGCAGGCACAUGAGAUAUUUUAUGUUAAAUAUGUCUCCCCC